UACACACAUUGCUGGUGUUGAUAACAGGUGAAGAAGGUUGACAAAAUUAACCGUCAAAUUUUCGACUUGUUCGACAUCGACAAUGAGGUA